ensembl:lncRNA
CCCUUUUUAGCGACGCGGUCUACCGGUAGAUAGAAACCCCUCGCGCUGUUCAGCUCACGUGCCGACGUCUGUUCCCUCCCCAACUCAGCACACAUCGGUAAUACGUCAUGUUGGCUUCAAAAUGAGCAACAAACUCACACUACAAGUUACUCGUGUCCCCAGUUAAGUAUUCAUAACAUUACUUAAAAGGUCGUCUUUGCCAAGGGUGUAACCAUGGAACCAUGGUUCGGACAUUGGGGGGGUCCGCCGGACGCUGCGGCCCCGCUGAGCGGAGCGAGCGGCCACUCAGAGAGUCCCGCUCGGUUGUUGUUACAUCCGACCCACUCUGCAUGCCUCCUACUUUGUGGCGACACCGACGUGCAGUCAGCUGGAAGAGGCAAACAAAGCAAAUGUCAAACGUCUUCCUGUGACCUGAGCAAAUGGCCGUUAAUUAUUCCCGCCUCAGUGUACCAGGUAAAAGCAGCCGCUGUCUGGUAGACACACACACACAGAUGAUACUCCUAUUCCUGAGGAUGUCCUGAUCACAUGCAUGAAUCUCUAAGGCG